CCUACGGGGUGCAGCAGUAGGGAAUUUUGCGCAAUGGGGGAAACCCUGACGCAGCAACGCCGCGUGAUCGAUGAAGCCCUUCGGGGUGUAAAGAUCUGUCAGUGGGGACGAAACCUGACGGUACCCACAGAGGAAGCACCGGCUAACUCCGUGCCAGCAGCCGCGGUAAUACGUAGGGGGCGAGCGUUAUCCGGAUUCACUGGGUGUAAAGGGAGCGUAGACGGCCAUGCAAGCCAGGGGUGAAAGCCCGGGGCCCAACCCCGGGACUGCCCUUGGAACUGCAUGGCUGGAGUGCGGGAGGGGCAGGCGGAAUUCCUGGUGGAGCGGUGAAAUGCGUAGAUAUCAGGAGGAACACCGGCGGCGAAGGCGGCCUACUGGACCGCGACUGACGUUGAGGCUCGAAAGCGUGGGGAGCGAACAGGAUUAGAUACCCGUGUAGUC
rnacentral:rRNA from 1 species